UACGUAGGGUGCAAGGCGUUGUCCGGAAUUAUUGGGCGUAAAGAGCUCGUAAGGCGGUUGUGCGUUCGGCUGUGAAAUCCCGCGGCUCAAACUGCGGGUCUGCAGUCGGAUACGGGCAGGCUAGAGUUCGGUAGGGGAGACUGGAAUUCCUGGUGUAGCGGUGAAAUGCGCAGAUAAUCAGGAGGAACACCGGUGGCGAAGGCGGGUCUCUGGGCC
rnacentral:rRNA from 1 species